UGUGAACGUUACCAAACUGUUGCCUCGGCGGGAUCUCUGCCCCGGGUGCGUCGCAGCCCCGGACCAAGGCGCCCGCCGGAGGACCAACCAAAACUCUUAUUGUAUACCCCCUCGCGGGUUUUUUUACUAUCUGAGCCAUCUCGGCGCCCCUCGUGGGCGUUUCGAAAAUGAAUCAAAACUUUCAACAACGGAUCUCUUGGUUCUGGCAUCGAUGAAGAACGCAGCGAAAUGCGAUAAGUAAUGUGAAUUGCAGAAUUCAGUGAAUCAUCGAAUCUUUGAACGCACAUUGCGCCCGCCAGUAUUCUGGCGGGCAUGCCUGUCCGAGCGUCAUUUCAACCCUCGAACCCCUCCGGGGGGUCGGCGUUGGGGAUCGGCCCUUUACGGGGCCGGCCCCGAAAUACAGUGGCGGUCUCGCCGCAGCCUCUCCUGCGCAGUAGUUUGCACACUCGCAUCGGGAGCGCGGCGCGUCCACAGCCGUUAAACACCCCAAACUUCUGAAAUGUUGACCUCGGAUCAGGUAGGAAUACCCGCUGAACUUAAGCAUAU
rnacentral:rRNA from 1 species